rnacentral:rRNA from 1 species
GACGAACGCUGGCGGCGUGCUUAACACAUGCAAGUCGAACGGAAAGGCCCUGCUUUUGUGGGGUGCUCGAGUGGCGAACGGGUGAGCAACACGUGAGUAACCUGCCCUUGACUUUGGGAUAACUUCAGGAAACUGGGGCUAAUACCGGAUAGGAGCUCCUGCUGCAUGGUGGGGGUUGGAAAGUUUCGGCGGUUGGGGAUGGACUCACGGCUUAUCAGCUUGUUGGUGGGGUAGUGGCUUACCAAGGCUUUGACGGGUAGCCGACCUGAGAGGGUGACCGGCCACAUUGGGACUGAGAUACGGCCCAGACUCCUACGGGAGGCAGCAGUGGGGAAUAUUGCACAAUGGGCGGAAGCCUGAUGCAGCAACGCCGCGUGCGGGAUGACGGCCUUCGGGUUGUAAACCGCUUUCGCCUGUGACGAAGCGUGAGUGACGGUAAUGGGUAAAGAAGCACCGGCUAACUACGUG